AUUGAACGCUGGCGGCAUGCUUUACACAUGCAAGUCGAACGGUAACAGGCCUUCGGGUGCUGACGAGUGGCGAACGGGUGAGUAAUGCAUCGGAACGGGCCCAGAGGUGGGGGAUAACGCAGCGAAAGCUGUGCUAAUACCGCAUGUGAUCUGAGGAUGAAAGCGGGGGACCAGGCAGCAAUGUUUGGCCUCGCGCCUUUGGAGCGGCCGAUGUCAGAUUAGGUAGUUGGUGGGGUAAAGGCCUACCAAGCCGACGAUCUGUAGCUGGUCUGAGAGGACGACCAGCCACACUGGGACUGAGACACGGCCCAGACUCCUACGGGAGGCAGCAGUGGGGAAUUUUGGACAAUGGGCGCAAGCCUGAUCCAGCAAUGCCGCGUGCGGGAAGAAGGCCUUCGGGUUGUAAACCGCUUUUGUACGGAACGAAAAGGCUCUGGCUAAUACCUGGGGCUGAUGACGGUACCGUAAGAAUAAGCACCGGCUAACUACGUG
rnacentral:rRNA from 1 species